rnacentral:rRNA from 1 species
GACGAACGCUGGCGGCGUGCUUAACACAUGCAAGUCGAGCGACUGCAUUCUUUUCGGAGGGUGUAUGGAGCGGCGAACGGGUGAGUAACACGUGAGUAAUCUGCCUUUGGCUUGGGAAUAACUUCGGGAAAUCGGGGCUAAUGCCUGAUGUUUACUGUCUGCUGCAUGGUGGGUGGUGGAAAGAUUUUUUGGCCAGGGAUGAGCUCGCGGUCUAUCAGCUUGNGGUGGGGUAAUGGCUUACCAAGGCUUUUGACGGGUAGCCGGCCUGAGAGGGUGUUCGGCCACACUGGGACUGAGACACGGCCAGACUCCGUACGGGAGGCAGCAGGUGGGGAAUAUUGCGCAAGUGGGCGUAAGCCUGACGCAGCGACGCCGCGGUGGGGA